AGCAUACAACUCUGUGAACGGCGUCAAGUCCGGCAUGACGCAGCCUCACUCCAGUCAGGUGCAUCCUCAGCAGACGCCCUCGAGAGCUGUGGGGCCACCUGU
rnacentral:SRP_RNA from 1 species